GUGCACCAAUGCACCCGGAUGUGAUGCGAAUGACUGGGAAUCGACGGCAUAGAAUAACGAAUUAGUAGGAGAUAUCAACAAAGGAAUCCACCGUGUAUUCACUAAGUGGAGGGAAUACUGGACAUCCAAAAGUGCACAAACAACAGCAGCAACAACAAAUAAAAAGAUUUAUUUUAUUUAAUAUGUGAUUUAAUAUUGUAUUUAUUGUAAUUUCUUUUGCUAAAAAAAACAUUAAAAUUAAAAAAAAAAACAUUUUCAGUGAA